rnacentral:rRNA from 1 species
UACGAGGGGUCCAAGCGUUGCUCGGAAUCAUUGGGCGUAAAGCGGGUGUAGGUGGCUUUAUAAGUCAGGAGUGAAAGCCCUGGGCUCAACCCAGGAAGUGCUUUUGAUACUGUAAAGCUUGAGUGUGGGAGAGGAUCGUGGAAUUCCAGGUGUAGCGGUGAAAUGCGUAGAUAUCUGGAGGAACACCGGUGGCGAAGGCGGCAUCCUGGACCAAUACUGACGCUCAGGUGCGAAAGCGUGGGGAGCAAACAGG